GAUGAACGCUAGCGGCAGGCCUAGCACAUGCAAGUCGAACGGUAACAGAUCUAGCUUGCUAGAUGCUGACGAGUGGCGCACGGGUGCGUAACGCGUAUACAAUCUACCUUUAACUGAGGGAUAGCCCAGAGAAAUUUGGAUUAAUACCUCAUAGUAUUAUAUUAAGGCAUCUUUUUAUAAUUAAAACUCCGGUGGUUAAAGAUGAGUAUGCGUCCUAUUAGCUUGUUGGUAAGGUAAAAGCUUACCAAGGCUACGAUAGGUAGGGGGCCUGAAAGGGUGAUCCCCCACACUGGUACUGAGACACGGACCAGACUCCUACGGGAGGCAGCAGUGAGGAAUAUUGCACAAUGGAGGAAACUCUGAUGCAGCCAUGCCGCGUGCAGGAUGAAUGCCCUAUGGG
rnacentral:rRNA from 1 species